UACGUAGGGUGCGAGCGUUGCCCGGAUUUAUUGGGCGUAAAGGGCUCGUAGGCGGCCAACUAAGUCAGACGUGAAAUCCCCAGGCUCAACCUGGGAACUGCGUCUGAUACUGGAUGGCUUGAAUUCGGGAGAGGGAUGCAGAAUUCCAGGUGUAGCGGUGAAAUGCGUAGAUAUCUGGAGGAAUACCGGUGGCGAAGGCGGCAUCCUGGACCGACAUUGACGCUGAUGAGCGAAAGCUAGGGGAGCAAACGGG
rnacentral:rRNA from 1 species